CCGGAAGUCAACUAAAUAUUUUCGAAUUGAAGCCAGAUCGUUUUAAAACAAAACGAUACGCUAUGAAACAACUAGGUGUCUGAUUUGUUCGUUGUCUACCUACUUUCGCCCUUGUUUCGAAGACUAACAAUGUUGUUUGGUAGUAGUUCGCUGCGGUUUUCUCCCCUCCAGCCUCUGUCAGCUGAUAGCAAUGAUGUGUAUAGUAUGAAGCGUUACACAUGAGACGUUGGUAUAUGAGGGACUGUGAAAAGACUGGUGGCCCUGGUGGCAUGUCUGGUGGGCUCUCAACCACACAGCUG